rnacentral:lncRNA from 1 species
AGAGAGUAAAAAAGCAAUUUUCGAAAAGAAAAAAAAACUAAUGACAUUUUCGUGAAUAAUAUGAACUUGUGGGGUGAAUAGGGCAAAAAAAAAAUCCAAAAAAAAACAUGGAUUUGUUUUAGAUUUGACUUUGAGUUUUCACUCAAUUUUGCAAAUAGCCCUAACAUUAAUUAUAAAUAACAAAUUUAUCAUAUAAACUAAAUUAUUAGUAAGAUAAACUACAUAAACAACUAUAAUAAUGUUAAUUAAAUCAUAUAAAAUAAAUAUUAUACAAAUAAAUUCGUCUUAGCACUAAAUAAUAUUCAAUUAAUUUAUUUUAAAAAAUCAAUUUAAAACAAAAUCCGCGUCGUCCCCCAGGUCAUGAUCUAAACUAUCUUUAAAACAUAAAAC